GUUUGAUACCUUGAGUCGAUAUGUCAAUGUCCUGAUUUUAGAAGUUUCUGUGACUUUUUUAUCCACAGCAGCAGUCAGGAAAUUAUUUCUUCAGUUUAUUAUCUCUUUGAAAUGCUUACAGGGAUGUACGUGCAACAUCAUAUGCUGAUUGCCAUGGAUGGAACUAGCCGACUAGCUUCCCUGCAGUUUCUUGCUGGUAAAUCAUGCAAAUUCGGUUGCUGGCUUAAUGGUAUGUAGCAUCUCCUUAUAUGAUAGGUUGAUAUGGGCAUCAUCUUUUUGGCCACAGUAACUUGUUCCGGUCAUUGCUUCGUUCUGUUAUAUUGCUCUGCAAACUAGAACGCUGUCAUUUUCUUUGUAUGAACAUUUAGCUAGUUUUGCUUCGUGAUAGCAUCUGACAUUCUGGGCAGAACAUUUGAUGCAGAUGCACAAACAAUUCUAGCUCGCGAAGGAAAUAUUGAUUUAUCAUUUUUCCAAAGGUCAUUACAGGGGUGGAAGUCUAAAAUAGUGGAGGUCUAAUCGUUGCUUGGCUAUUGCAACCAGUGGAGGUCUAAACCAGCAAAGGACCGGGGUGGAAGUCUAAAAUAGUGGAGGUUUGUGGUGGAUUAAAUGAGUCGUACGUUGAGCUGGAGAUACUUGUGAAUUCACAAGAAAAUUGUAUCAGAUGGCUAGCUAGUUGCAUAUUUAAUAUGUUUAAUAUUUUUGUAAGGCAUAAUAGUAUAGAUAG